GACGAACGCUGGCGGCGUGCUUAACACAUGCAUGUCGAGCGAUGAAGCUCCUUCGGGAGUGGAUUAGCGGCGGACGGGUGAGUAACACGUGGGUAACCUGCCUCAUAGAGGGGAAUAGCCUUCCGAAAGGAAGAUUAAUACCGCAUAAGAUUGUAGUACCGCAUGGUAUAGCAAUUAAAGGAGCAAUCCGCUAUGAGAUGGACCCGCGUCGCAUUAGCUAGUUGGUGAGGUAACGGCUCACCAAGGCGACGAUGCGUAGCCGACCUGAGAGGGUGAUCGGCCACAUUGGGACUGAGACACGGCCCAGACUCCUACGGGAGGCAGCAGUGGGGAAUAUUGCACAAUGGGGGAAACCCUGAUGCAGCAACGCCGCGUGAGUGAUGACGGUCUUCGGAUUGUAAAAUCCUUUCAGUGGGGAAGAUAAUGACGGUACCCACAGAAGAAGUCCCGGCUAACUACGUGCCAGCCGCCGCCGAAA
rnacentral:rRNA from 1 species